GACGAACGCUGGCGGCGUGCUUAACACAUGCAAGUCGAACGCUGAAGCUUGGUGCUUGCACUGGGUGGAUGAGUGGCGAACGGGUGAGUAAUACGUGAGUAACCUGCCCUUGACUCUGGGAUAAGCCUGGGAAACUGGGUCUAAUACUGGAUAUGACAUGCCACUGCAUGGUGGUGUGUGGAAAGGGUUUUACUGGUUUUGGAUGGGCUCACGGCCUAUCAGCUUGUUGGUGGGGUAAUGGCCUACCAAGGCGACGACGGGUAGCCGGCCUGAGAGGGUGACCGGCCACACUGGGACUGAGACACGGCCCAGACUCCUACGGGAGGCAGCAGUGGGGAAUAUUGCACAAUGGGCGGAAGCCUGAUGCAGCGACGCCGCGUGAGGGAUGACGGCCUUCGGGUUGUAAACCUCUUUCAGCACGGAAGAAGCGAGAGUGACGGUACGUGCAGAAGAAGCGCCGGCGAACUACGU
rnacentral:rRNA from 1 species